AAGAACAUAGUUUAAUGGUAAAACAGAAAGCUUCAAACUUUAAAUUCUCAGUUCGAAUCUGAGUGCUCUUG
rnacentral:tRNA from 4 species